CGUAAACUUUCAACUACACUUACAUCGCCUGGGAACUACGAGCAAAGCUUAAAACCCAAAGGACUUGACGGUACCCCACAUCCACCUAGAGGAGCCUGUCCUAUAAUCGAUAACCCCCGCUAAACCUCACCAUUUUUAGUUAAUCAGCCUGUAUACCUCCGUCGUCAGCUUACCUCGUGAGCGAUAUAUAGUGAGCUUAAUGUCCACACGUCAAUACGUCAGGUCAAGGUGCAGUAAAUAAAAUGGGAAGAGAUGGGCUACACUCUCUAAUAUAGAAUAUACGAAAGACUAUAUAUGAAACCUAGUCAAAAGGCGGAUUUAGUAGUAAAAAGAGAUCAUUAAGCUCUUUUUAACACGGCACUGGGGUGUGUACACACCGCCCGUCACCCUCUUCAAUACCAAAAAAUAGUAUAUAACAUAAAUUAGUAAACUAGAAGAGGCAAGUCGUAACAUGGUAAGUAUACCGGAAGGUGUGCUUGGAAA
rnacentral:rRNA from 1 species